rnacentral:rRNA from 1 species
GACAGAGGGUGCAAACGUUGCUCGGAAUUACUGGGCGUAAAGCGCGUGUAGGUGGAUUGGUGUGUCAGAUGUGAAAGCCCUGGGCUCAACCCAGGAACUGCACCUGAAACUACCAGUCUUGAGUGGUGGAGAGGGAAGUGGAAUUCCUGGUGUAGAGGUGAAAUUCGUAGAUAUCAGGAGGAACACCAGUGGCGAAGGCGGCUUCCGUGGACACUGAACUGACGCUGAGACGCGAAAGCGUGGGGAGCAAACAGG